AUCGUAGGAUUGCGCUUCGGCCUCAUUGACUGAGUUAAAAGGGAAUCCGGUGUGAAUCCGGAACUGGCGCGCAGCGGUAUGGGGAAAUCACGGCGAUAGCAUUCUUUAUUAUGCAGACACUGUUUCUUCCUUCUCUCCUUAUACAGGAAAGGAGAAAGAGGAGAUGGGAAGUCAUCGCCCGGUGCAGGUACUUUUCAAUUAAUUAUGUCGUAAUUAAUUAGUCUGCAAAUCCUAAGUCCGAAGACCUGCCGAUGUUACGUCGCAUUA
rnacentral:ncRNA from 2 species